rnacentral:lncRNA from 1 species
ACAGGAAUUGCUGCCUAGGAAGAUUACUUUGUGGAAGUUAAAGGAUAUAAAUUGCUUAAUAUAGGUGAAAAGUAUAGCUUGAGUCAAAGUCGGGAAUGCAGAUUACUUGUAUUCUCUCUGAAGAAAUACUUCAGGCUAGAGGAGCAUUCACUUAGAGCUAAUUCUAUACCUGUAUGUUUCAGUGUUGAUUGAUUAGCUUGAAGAUGUAAUUCCUCCUGAAAUAAUGUGCCUGAGCAAGUGUGUGGCGAAUGUCAUUUUGCAUGGCUAUCCUCGGGGUGCAAUUUGAAGAAGGAAGCAACUAUCAUUGUGCUUGUGAAAUACCGAUAAACCUAUUUCACUAUGUAUUUGUGAAAUCAUAGCUAUUGUAUUAGGUAUUUAUUGUUAUAUAUGUUGUCUAUCGCCAUUUGGCAGUUAUUUACAUGCAUAUAUUUUUGUUAUCUGCCAUUCUUAUCAAAACAAAAUUAAUAAAAUAUAGUAUUAUUUUCAGCUUUUAUAAUAUUGGGCCCGUGCUGGCCCGGGCUAACACUAUCUAGUGUUAAUAAUAAAGAAUAGUAAUACAUAAAUAAAACUCCUCUAAACUUGAUUCAGUUUACAACUUUGUACAACUUAGAUGUGCUAUAUAAUAUCCCACCCACCUAUGUAUUUGAGUAGAUAGAUAGAAGUAUUCUUGCGUAGUUGUGAUGCUGAUUCAUUCAAACCUGCAUUAAGGCUACAAUUUACUCAUCAUUUAAUCAAAUGAACUUACUAUAAGAUUUUGUGAAAAUAUUAGUAAGUUGUAAACGUAAAUUUUAAUUUCAAUAACAUUAAUUGUUGUUAAGCAAAAAUAUAGAUGUGUGCUAAAAGGGAAUUACCAUUGAGACUUCAAGCUAUAAUUUGAUGAGCGUCUCGUCUUGUAAUUGAUUUGAGGAUCUCAAAACCUCUUUAAAAAUGGCGCCAAUACUUAUAAUUACCACACUUAUAACACUUGCUGCAUUUCCUUUUUCGGCUUUUCAGUUCAUUCAUAAGUACAAUGAACCUACAAAUUUAUAACAUAAGUACAAUGCAAAAGGAAAGAAAGAGAAGCAAAGAGAAGGGAAUAUUAAGGUAAAAAACAAAGUCAUAACUUUGCAGAAUACCUGUAUAAAUUUAUUUUUUAGGGCAUCUAAAUUCAGUCUCACUAAGUCAAUACAUGCCUCCAAGCUUCAAGCUGAUGACAUCCAGCCUCUGCACAAUCCCACUAUAUUUCGUCAUUUAGUUGGAAAGCUAAACUAUUUAACUAAUAUUAGACCUGUUCUUUCAUUUGCUGUACUCACCCUCAGUCAAUACAUGCAGAAGCCUUGUGUUUCUCAUUUUACUGCUGCUCUACGAGUACUCAAAUACCUCAGCUCCAAUCCCGGUCAAGGUAUUCUUCUUUCAGCUGAACAAUCUUUUUCUUCGCUGGUAUUCUGUGAUGCUGAUUGGGCAUCUUGCAAAGAUUCAACAAAAUCCGUCAGUGGUUUUUUCAUAACUCUUGGAGGAGCUCCUAUUUCAUGGAAAUCAAAGAAACAAGUAUCAAUUUCUUUGUCUUCAGCAGAAGCAGAAUAUAGAUCUAUGAGAAGGGUUACUGCAGAACUUACAUGGUUAGUGUGUUUGCUUAAGGACCUCUCUGCCCCAAUUACUUUGCCUACUCCUCUCCAUUCUGAUAGCAAACCAGCCAUCCACAUCGCUCGUAACCUCGUUUUUCACGAAUGCACAAAACAUGUUGAAAUUGACUGUCAUUGUGUGCGACAGUAGUUUCUCUCAGGCUUAAUCACUCUUUCUUUUGUCCCAUCUAAAGCUCAACUCGCAGAUCUCUUCACAAAAACCUUAUUUGGGGUUUCUCAUCAGGAAAUUUUGGGCAAGGUAGGGCUCACACAGUUCCCCUCUAACUUGAGGAGGGAUGUUGGGAGGAAGAAACUUCAUAACUCUACCUCUCAUAGCUCCCAUGGAGUUUCAACUACAAUUGAUGAAGAGAAAAUGACGAAGAAGACGAAGACCUAAACCUAAAGAGAAGACCAAGUUUCGG